UUCCUGUAAAGUCAUAUAUUUGUUUUGAACCACUCAAUGUCUUGUUUAUGUGUAAAGCACUUUGAAUAGCUCUUGUAACCUGCCCUGCCAUAAGAGGAAUGUCCUUUGAUAUGUGGCCUAAACAUUACCUUUAAAAAACAUUGAACAUUUCACUGUGUAUUGUACAAAGCCAUGUUUUAGCUCCUGUUUCAUUUUGGUAUGGUGUUACAGCUGUAUUCACAUGGACAAACGUAGCUAGCAAUAAUGGUGUGUGCUAACAUACAAAAACGUGGAGCAAGUUUGACAAUGGUACCAGUAGCUUAAUAAACUGUUGCAGAAGAGGCUUACCUGGCUUCUCAGAAGAGGAAUUUCAAAUGGUAUCCUUUUUUGUUACUUCUUUGACUAACCAUAGCAGGAACCUAGCUUUCAGUUGCUUAGAGUUAGCCUAGCUCGCAGCAGUAUACGGAAGCCGCAAUGGGACAUAUUUAGAAUUUGUAAGUGCGGAAUUCGUUCGUCGCCAGAGAUGCAACAUGUGUUGAGACAGUUUGGGGCCACCGUACAUACAGCAUCUCCUCUGUAUGGAGACUAACAUUGUUGCUCAUCUCUACAAGGUACACCUAUGCUACGUACAACAUUUCAAGGACCCCUCAGCCUAAGUGUUUGUUAUUCUCAUAUACAUGCUGGGAAGGAUGGAGUAAGGCGCUCUCCGGCCAAAAAUGCAAGCUCCAGACUCUUGGUGCUGUAGGAGUCCUUCAGUCCCAGCAUGGCCUCCUCGCGCUCUCUCAGCUGGGCGUUGAGCUCCUUCAGCUGACCUCUCAGGGCCACCAUCUCCCCGGCUCGCUGGGUCACUUCAGCCUGACUCUCCCUCAGCUGCUGCUUCAGCAGGGAGAUCUCUCCUGCCUUCUGACACACCUGCAACAUAAAGAUCCAGUGAGUGGAAUUAUUUCCUUGUAUAUAAACAUUGUUGUAGUUCUUGGUUGUAAACACAUACAGUAAUUUGCAUCCUCACACAUGCAGCCUUAUACUCAUUGUGUUGUCUAGCAUGAUUUAACCCUGAUAGUAUUUCACUGAACUAGUCAAGCACACCAUCUUAAAUACUCAUAUCUCACCUCCCACUUGGUCUCCUCCAGACGAGGCAAGAUGUCAGCCUGCUCCUUCCUGUAGUCUAAACACUUUCUCUCCAGCUCCUCUCUCUGGGCCAACAGAGCUGCCAUUUCCUCCUGCAGCCUCCUCUUGUCCUGGGACAGACGGGUUAUCUGGGCUUGCAGGGCAGUCUGGGAGCGCUGAGCACGGCGGGUAACCUGGAGAAUACAGAAAGUGUAUAUGUAUAAGUGGAGCAUACAUGCAUAACACCUGCAACAUAACACUGUGAUGCUUUCAGAUGUGACAGUCUGUUACUGAUUCAGUGGUGUAAACUUGGCUCAUAUUUGAUGUAGUCUUUCAGAUCAGAUGAAUUUGCAAGACAAGGCUUUUUAAAAAUGGUUGUUACUGUGUUGAUAUUUCAUGAAGAUAAUGCAACUUUAUCUGAAGAGGAGUUCACUUCUGAUUUCACUAUUAAACUGGAUUGGAGGAAA